rnacentral:rRNA from 1 species
CAAUGGCAGUGACAAUGGGCAGCCAGCCAGCGAUGGUGAGCUAAUCCCAAAAAACUGCCCCAGUUCAGAUUGCACUCUGCAACUCGAGUGCAUGAAGGUGGAAUCGCUAGUAAUCGCAGAACAGCAGGCUGCGGUGAAUACGUUCCCGGGCGUUGUACACACCGCCCGUCACACCAUGGGAGUUGGCUCUACCCGAAGACGGUGCGCUAACCUCGCAAGAGGAGGCAGCCGGCCACGGUCGGGUCAGCGACUGGGGUGAAGUCGUAACAAGGUAGCCGUAA